GAAAUGUAAUCUCUCAGCUCCCCCUGCACGAGAAAAAAAAAAAUCAAAAUAAUCGAUCCAAAACUCCAGAUUCUAGCAUCAACAUCCUCUAAAAUAACAGAAUUAAGAAUGCAUAUCAAACUAUGAUCUUAGUUCAAAAUUAAAAUCCGACACACACACCCAUUAACAGAUCAAUCCAAAUCUCAUAUUAGCAACAAAGUCCCAUCAAAAAAUUCAGAAAUAACCAUCUUGAAAAAGAACAAACAAAUUAUUCAUUUUUUUUUGGCGUAUCAACAUCAAUCGAAAUCAACGCAGCAUACCCUGCCACCCCCACCAUCUCAACGUGUUUUUUGUACAAAAUAAUAUGCAAUCUUAAGAUUAAAAAUAAAUAAUUAAACAUAUUUCAUAAAUUUAAUAUAAAAAACAAAAACAACAACAACAAUUGUUUCAGGACAAGAAGCGAAG
rnacentral:misc_RNA from 1 species